CCUACGGUGGCUGCAGUGGGGAAUAUUGGACAAUGGGCGAAAGCCUGAUCCAGCCAUGCCGCGUGUGUGAAGAAGGCCUUCGGGUUGUAAAGCACUUUCAGUGGGGAAGAAAGCCUUGGGGCUAAUACCCUCGAGGAAGGACAUCACCCACAGAAGAAGCACCGGCUAACUCCGUGCCAGCAGCCGCGGUAAUACGGAGGGUGCGAGCGUUAAUCGGAAUUACUGGGCGUAAAGCGCGCGUAGGCGGUCUGAUAAGCCGGUUGUGAAAGCCCCGGGCUCAACCUGGGAACGGCAUCCGGAACUGCCAGGCUAGAGUGCAGGAGAGGAAGGUAGAAUUCCCGGUGUAGCGGUGAAAUGCGUAGAGAUCGGGAGGAAUACCAGUGGCGAAGGCGGCCUUCUGGACUGACACUGACGCUGAGGUGCGAAAGCGUGGGUAGCAAACAGGAUUAGAUACCCUUGUAGUC
rnacentral:rRNA from 1 species